AUGUCAAAUAUAAGAGAAAUAAUUUUAAAAGAGCGAAAACGUAGAUUUUUAUCUGCGUGUCUAAUAUUGUGUCUAGCAGUUGAUCAAGAAAAACGUAAAGUAAAACGUUCUGUGUGGACCAAGCCAUACUUAUUACGAAGAAAAUGUAAAAGUAUGCAUCAUAACCUAUUUCUGGAACUUGCGUUUGAAGAUCCAAAUCGAUUUUGUAGAUGUCUGCGUAUGAACAGUGAUGUCUUUCAAUAUUUUGUUGAAAAAGUUACACCUCUUAUUUAAAAGAAAACGCAUUUAAGAGAAAGUAUACCUCCUUCUGAGAGACUCUCCGUCACCUUGCGUCAUCUAGCUACUGGAGAAUCACAAGAAUCACUUAGCCUGCAGUUCAGAAUUGGUCAGAGCACAAUAUCAAACAUAAUAAGAGAAGUAUCUGCAGCGCUUAUCAAUGUUUUAAAAGAUGAAUUUUUGCGAAUACCAUCAUCUGCAUAAGAAUGGGAUAUUGUUGCUAAUGAUUAUGGACAAAGAUGGAAUUUUCAUCAUUGCAUUGGUGCAAUAGAUGGGAAGCAUGUGCGAAUAGAUCCUCCUCUUUCAUCAGGAUCAGCCUAUUACAACUAUAAAGAUUUUUACAGCAUUGUUUUAAUGGCUGUUGUUGAUGCACAGUUAAGAUUUAUAUACAUAGAUAUAGGUACCAAUGGAAGAAUGAGUGAUUCUCACAUAUGGAACAAAUGUAGUCUCAAAUCUCAUUUGAGUAACAAUAAUAUUCCUUUGCCUCAACCAUCUCCAAUUGCUGGAUGUGUCGAUAAUUUUCCUUAUGUACUGGUUGGUGAUGAGAUUUUCCCUCUCACAAAAUACUUGCUCAUUCCAUUUCCAAAAGAUCAGUGUCGUAAUCGGUUAGAUAGAAGAAUUUUUAACUACAGGUUAUCACGUGCCAGACGCUGUUCAGAAAAUGCAUUCGGUAUACUGGGUGCAAGAUUUCAGAUUUUUCGAACAGCUAUGAGAUACG